AACAAAUGCAACAUUCGUAUUAGCUGGUCGGAGGUGCAGAGGGUGAGGGGUAUUUGCACGAAGAUCUCUCGCGCGAUAUGCAGAUCAGCCGGAAGCACGGAAGGGAAAGUCUUGCAAGUCAGAUAAGCUCGCGGAUCUCCCUAAGCGCCUUGCAAACUCAUCGGAAUUAGCAAUGUAGAUAUCAAAUCAAAUUUUUAUAUUCUUAAAAUAAGGAAAGCGUUGCAAUAUUUUCUUUCAACGAAAGAUCCCAAGGGAAUCGUAACAUUUUUCUGGC
rnacentral:misc_RNA from 1 species